AUUGAACGCUGGCGGCAUGCUUUACACAUGCAAGUCGAACGGUAACAGGCCGCAAGGUGCUGACGAGUGGCGAACGGGUGAGUAAUGCAUCGGAACGUGCCCAGUCGUGGGGGAUAACUAUCCGAAAGGAUAGCUACUACCGCAUACGAUCUGCGGAUGAAAGCGGGGGACCUUCGGGCCUCGCGCGAUUGGAGCGGCCGAUGUCAGAUUAGGUAGUUGGUGGGGUAAAGGCUCACCAAGCCAACGAUCUGUAGCUGGUCUGAGAGGACGACCAGCCACACUGGAACUGAGACACGGCCCAGACUCCUACGGGAGGCAGCAGUGGGGAAUUUUGGACAAUGGGCGCAAGCCUGAUCCAGCAAUGCCGCGUGCAGGAAGAAGGCCUUCGGGUUGUAAACUGCUUUUGUACGGAACGAAACGGUCCUGGUUAAUACCCGGGGCUAAUGACGGUACCGUAAGAAUAAGCACCGGCUAACUACGUGCCAGCCGCCGCAGUAAAAC
rnacentral:rRNA from 1 species